AAGUCGUAACAAGGUUUCCGUAGGUGAACCUGCGGAAGGAUCAUUAACACGUAUCCAAACGUUAAAACCCCCCCCCGUGAACCUUCAUCCUGCUCUUGUAACCCGCGUAGUUCGCAAUCUCUGAUAAAUCAUAGCCCGGAAAGUUGUAGUGAUUCAGAGACCUCUGGCUACGUGCGAACAUUGGAACAGUUACAAUCGAGCGGUAGUUCUAUAGGCAAUGUUUCCCCAAGCGGUCUACAGGAAUCGUAGAAGCGCUAUCCUUGCACAAUCAAUGACACCGUACACUCGGGCAGGAGCUUUGCGAAAGGGUCCCCAUGCCCCCUAAUAACCCCACAGUUUAAUGUGAAGCUCAAUGUAAUAACCGAACAAACUGUUAACAAUGGAUAUCUUGGUUCUC
rnacentral:misc_RNA from 1 species